CAAGGACACACCAGGAGAGCCUCCCAGCUGCCCAGAGGUUUGUAGUUGAGAAGAGGAAUCAGACAAGAGCCUUAAUGACUACGAAGCUACGACAACUGCUUUUCUAGACGUGUGAACUGGUGUCAUAAGAACGCAAAGGAGAGGCAGCCAGAAUUUUGAUGUGUGGGGAGUCUGCUCUCACCAGGUGGACAGGGGCCACAGCCUCGGGCCCAGGAACCUGGGACCCUGAGCAACCUCGCGAAGCAGAACUACUCUGCCGCUGCUCGCAUCCUCCUCCACUCCAUUCCCUGAGAGAGGACAGACCUCCGCC
rnacentral:lncRNA from 1 species